GAAAGCCCGAGGGAAACAUGCCGCGUGUAUGAAGAAGGCCUUCGGGUUGUAAAGUACUUUCAGUUGUGAGGAAGGGUGUGUAGUUAAUAGCUGCGCAUCUUGACGUUAGCAACAGAAGACGCACCGGCUAACUCCGUGCCAGCAGCCGCGGUAAUACGGAGGGUGCGAGCGUUAAUCGGAAUUACUGGGCGUAAAGCGCAUGCAGGUGGCUCAUUAAGUCAGAUGUGAAAGCCCGGGGCUCAACCUCGGAACUGCAUUUGAAACUGGUGAACUAGAGUACUGUAGAGGGGGGUAGAAUUUCAGGUGUAGCGGUGAAAUGCGUAGAGAUCUGAAGGAAUACCAGUGGCGAAGGCGGUCCCCUGGACAGGCACUGACACUCAGAUGCGAAAGCGUGGGGAGCAAACAGGAUUAGAUACCCUGGUAGUCCACGCCGUAAACGAUGUUUACUUUGAAGGUGUGGGCUUGAGCCGUGGCUUUCGGAGCUAACGCGUUAAGUAGACCGCCUGGGGAGUACGGUCGCGAGAUUAAAACUCAAAUGAAUUGACGGGGGCCC
rnacentral:rRNA from 1 species